rnacentral:rRNA from 1 species
CCCUUAGAUGUUCUGGGCCGCACGCGUGCUACACUGAGUAAUUCAAUGGGUAAGGGAACGCUAGAGCAUUACCUAAUCUUGAAAUUUGCUCGUGAUGGGGAUCGACGGUUGCAAUUUUCCGUCGUGAACGAGGAAUACCUUGUAGGCGCAUGUCAUCAUCAUGCGCCGAAUACGUCCCUGCCCUUUGUACACACCGCCCGUCGCUCCUACCGAUGAAUCGUCCGGUGAAGUUCAUGGAGGGGCGGUUGUUUCAACUGCCGUUGAAGUGAAAUGGACCUCACGAUUUAGAGGAAGGAGAAGUCGUAACA